UAGGGAAUCUUCCACAAUGGACGCAAGUCUGAUGGAGCAACGCCGCGUGAGUGAAGAAGGCUUUCGGGUCGUAAAACUCUGUUAUUGAAGAAGAACGUGUGUGACAGUAACUGGUCAUGCAGUGACGGUAUUCAAUCAGAAAGUCACGGCUAACUACGUGCCAGCAGCCGCGGUAAUACGUAGGUGGCAAGCGUUGUCCGGAUUUAUUGGGCGUAAAGCGAGUGCAGGCGGUCUUUUAAGUCUGAUGUGAAAGCCUUCGGCUUAACCGAAGAAGGGCAUCGGAAACUGGGAGACUUGAGUGCAGAAGAGGAGAGUGGAACUCCAUGUGUAGCGGUGAAAUGCGUAGAUAUAUGGAAGAACACCAGUGGCGAAGGCGGCUCUCUGGUCUGUAACUGACGCUGAGGCUCGAAAGCGUGGGUAGCAAACAGGAUUA
rnacentral:rRNA from 1 species